AAUAAAGGAACUCAAGUCAAAUGCAUGGCUAUGAGACAAAGUAAAUAAAUUAAUUCUAUGUUAUUGUCUACUUGACAGAUAAAUGCCUGAUCUAUGGUUGUCAAUUGGCUGUAAGAGGAGUGAUAGCGUCAGUCGUGAGUGAUGCGAUUAAAACAUCUGUGUCAUUGAUUCAUGUGGGUCCCAUCAUUUAAUGCAUGUGGGACCCCCACGAAUCAAUGGUUCA
rnacentral:misc_RNA from 1 species